AUGCUUGCUUCAGCAGCACAUAUAUUAAAGUUGGAAUGCUACAGAGAUGAUUAGCAUGGCCUAUUCGAGGAUGACACACAAAUUUGUGAUGCCUUCCAUAUUUUU
ensembl:snRNA U6 U6 spliceosomal RNA